GCUUACGGCCAUACCACUCUAAACACACCUGGUCUUAUUUGAUCUCAGAAGCUAAGCAGGGUCGGGCCUGGUUAGUACUUUGAUGGGAGACUGCCUGGGAAUAUCAGGUGCUGUAAGCU
rnacentral:rRNA from 1 species